UAGGGAAUCUUCGGCCAUGGGGGGAACCCUGACCGAGCAACGCCGCGUGAGUGAAGAAGGUUUUCGGAUCGUAAAGCUCUGUUGUUAAGGAAGAACGAGUGUGAGAAUGGAAAGUUCAUACUGUGACGGUACUUAACCAGAAAGGGACGGCUAACUACGUGCCAGCAGCCGCGGUAAUACGUAGGUCCCGAGCGUUGUCCGGAUUUAUUGGGCGUAAAGCGAGCGCAGGCGGUUAGAUAAGUCUGAAGUUAAAGGCAGUGGCUCAACCAUUGUAGGCUUUGGAAACUGUUUAACUUGAGUGCAGAAGGGGAGAGUGGAAUUCCAUGUGUAGCGGUGAAAUGCGUAGAUAUAUGGAGGAACACCGGUGGCGAAAGCGGCUCUCUGGUCUGUAACUGACGCUGAGGCUCGAAAGCGUGGGGAGCGAACAGG
rnacentral:rRNA from 1 species